AUGAACGCUGGCGGCGUGCCUAAUACAUGCAAGUCGAGCGAACGGACGAGAAGCUUGCUUCUCUGAUGUUAGCGGCGGACGGGUGAGUAACACGUGGAUAACCUACCUAUAAGACUGGGAUAACUUCGGGAAACCGGAGCUAAUACCGGAUAAUAUUUUGCACCGCAUGGUUCCAAAGUGAAAGACGGUCUUGCUGUCACUUAUAGAUGGAUCCGCGCUGCAUUAGCUAGUUGGUAAGGUAACGGCUUACCAAGGCAACGAUGCAUAGCCGACCUGAGAGGGUGAUCGGCCACACUGGAACUGAGACACGGUCCAGACUCCUACGGGAGGCAGCAGUAGGGAAUCUUCCGCAAUGGGCGAAAGCCUGACGGAGCAACGCCGCGUGAGUGAUGAAGGUCUUCGGAUCGUAAAACUCUGUUAUUAGGGAAGAACAUAUGUGUAAGUAACUGUGCACAUCUUGACGGUACCUAAUCAGAAAGCCACGGCUAACUACGUG
rnacentral:rRNA from 1 species